UAUUUGUUUCUACAUUACUGCAAAGCUAAGGAAAUGUAUUUCUUUAAUGUGUUUUUUUACAUGCAAUAUUUAAUGGGGUGUGGUGGCUCAUGCCUGUAAUUCCAGCAUUUUUGGGGGCUGAGGUAGGCAGCUGAGAUCCUGCCAUUUCACUCCAACCUGGGCAACAAGGCUCUUUCUCAAAAAAAAAAAAAAAAAAAGGUAUUUACCAAGAUUUCCCUGUUGUCUCUACUUUUAUCUUGAUGCAUCGCUGAGUUGAUGUUAGAUUUCAAAUUCUUCUUUACCCUUACACUAUUCUGACCUGAAGCUACCUUUAUGUCAUAAUGAAAGAAGUUAGCAAUUUGUUAUUGUCAUCUAUCUGUUGGCAUAUAUCAAAUGUUCACCUAAAAAUAGCAACAACCAGUAGAAACAUUAUGACUUUGCUGUUUCUAUUUGGAUGACUCUUUACUUUGCAACAUUACUAGCAAGCUAUAAAAUUGUAUAGUUCUUGUUUGUUUGUUUUGAGACAGAGUUCAGCUCUGUCACCAGGCUGCAGUGCAGUGGCUCAGUGUCGGCUCACUGCAAACUCCACCUCCCAGGAUCAAGUGAUUCUCCUGCCUCAACUUCUGGGUAGCUGGGAGCACAGGUGUGUGCCACUACAUUCAGGUAAUUUUUGGAAUUUUAGCAGAGACAGGGUUUCACCAUGUCAGCCAAGAUGGUCUUGAUUUCUUGACCUUGAUUUCUUGCCUUGGCCCCCAAAAGUGCUGGGAUUACAGGCAUUA
rnacentral:lncRNA from 1 species